AAUGGGGGAAACCCUGAUCCAGCAAUGCCGCGUGAGUGAUGAAGGCUCUAGGGUUGUAAAACUCUUUCAGAAGUGAAGAUGAUGACGGUAACUUCAGAAGAAGCUCCGGCUAACUCCGUGCCAGCAGCCGCGGUAAUACGGAGGGAGCUAGCGUUGUUCGGAAUUACUGGGCGUAAAGAGCGUGUAGGCUGUUAGGUAAGUCAGAGGUGAAAUCCCUGAGCUCAACUUAGGAACUGCCUUCGAUACUAUCUUACUAGAGAUCGAGAGAAGUUAGCGGAAUUCCAAGUGUAGAGGUGAAAUUCGUAGGUAUUUGGAAGAACACCAGUGGCGAAAGCGGCUAACUGGCUCGUAUCUGACGCUGAGACGCGAAAGCGUGGGUAGCAAACAGGAUU
rnacentral:rRNA from 1 species